CACGAACCCAGACCAACUCCGGACACAUCUGAACAUCUGAAGUUCCCUGGUAUGACUUAGCUGAUAGCUCAUCCUUCACAAGAAUGCUUACAUGAAUGGCACCCGAGUUGGAAGGAAAAAAGAUCCAGUGGAUCAUUUCAGAAUUUAGUUUGGCUCUCCCCACACAGGAUUUAACCAGGCUGACAGAUUCAGCACAGGAAAGUAUUUUAAUGUAAUGAUAUACCACCACUUCUAGACCCAAUGACAAGAUGAAAAUCCAAGAGCAGGCAUAAAACACCUAUAAAGAAAUGACAGAGCUUGAAGUCAGUGUGAAUAAUUUCUGAAUCAUAAAUUCACAAAGGGAACAGGGAAAAGAAAGGAGAAAA